UAUUUAUAUAUUUUUAUUGAGUGUUAUAAAUUUAUAAUUAAUAAAGUAACCAAAUAAAUUAUAUUUUCAUAAGGAAGCUUGGCUCUGACUUAAUAAUAUAGUAUAAACUAAGAAGUACACAUGGUUUUUUUUGAAUGAGAUGAGGAGAAAAUAAAUUAAUUAUUAUGUAAAAUACAAAUAAUUUUUAUUUUUCUAAGUAUUAUAAUUUUACAUGAUGCUUUGAAAAGUCCCAUUAACACCAGUGUCUGUGUUUAGAUUAAAAGUGAAAACUUGAACUAGUUUAGUUUAAUAAAUCUGGUUAAAUUAGUGCCAGCAUCCGCGGUUAUACUAAUAGAUUAAAUUAUAUAAAUUGGUCAAAAGGUAGUUAAUGUAUUAUAUUUUAAAGUUUUUAAAAGAUUUAUAUAAAGGUAAAAUUUGAAAAUAAAUUCUAAUACUAUUUAAAUACUUAUAUACUGAAUCUACGAAAAUUUUAAGGGAAACUGGGAUUAGAUACCCCGUUAUUUUCAAAAGUAAAUAUAUUAAUGUAUACCAGAGUACUACGAAUAAAAAUUUUAAAACUCAAAGAGCUUGGCGGUGUUUUAUACCUCUUAGGGGAACCUGUCUCAUAAUCGAUAGUCCACGAUAGACCUAACCUUAUUUUGUAUACAGUUUGUAUACCGUCGUCGUCAGGUAACUUUUAAAAAUGUAGAAGUUAGCUAAAAAAUAAAAUAAAUUUACACGUCAGAUCAAGGUGCAACUAAUAAUAAGGUGAAGAUGGGUUACAAUUAAAAAUUAUAAUUACGGAUAAAUAAUGAAAAUAUAUAUGAAGGAGGACUUAAAAGUAAGAUAAUUGUAUAAAAAUUAUUUGAAUAUGGCUCUGAAACGUGCACACAUCGCCCGUCACUCUGGUUGAAAAAUGAGAUAAGUCGUAACAUAGUAGGAGUAAUGGAAAUUGUUCCUGAAUUAAAAUUUAAAUAUUAAUAAAUU
rnacentral:rRNA from 1 species